UCCUCCUUUCUGUUCGAUGCAAGGACAACAAUGCUGCACAUGCCAGUGAAGCUCUGCGUCGCGCCAAGUUCAAGUUCCCUGGCCGCCAAAAGAUUAUUGAGAGCAGAAAGUGGUGAGUGCAUGAUGAAUUCAUUGCUGCCAUGAAACCAAAAUGCCAUAGCCUAAUAGCUUGCAUAAGUUAUUUUUUAUUAUUGUUUUUUGAUUUGCACUGUCUUGUCCAGGGGCUUCACCAAGUUCAGCCGUGCCGACUACCUGAAGUACAAGAGUGAGGGUAGAAUUGUUCCUGAUGGUGUCAACGCAAAGGUACAGCUAUCACAUAUCUUGCUACAUUUAGAUAUAUCUCUGAAUUAGUUUUGGGAUAGUAAUGUAAUUUCCAUUGAUACGCAUAUUUUGAAAUGGAGCUAUUCUUACAAUGUUUGCUCCGUCUUCUCUUCGGCAGUAUAUUAACCAGUUCAUAAUCUAAUUUUAACUUCUCCUGACUUAUUA
rnacentral:lncRNA from 1 species